rnacentral:rRNA from 1 species
GACGAACGCUGGCGGCGUGCUUAACACAUGCAAGUCGAACGGAAAGGCCCUGCUUUUGUGGGGUGCUCGAGUGGCGAACGGGUGAGUAACACGUGAGUAACCUGCCCUUGACUUUGGGAUAACUUCAGGAAACUGGGGCUAAUACCGGAUAGGAGCUCCUGCUGCAUGGUGGGGGCUGGAAAGUUUCGGCGGUUGGGGAUGGACUCGCGGCUUAUCAGCUUGUUGGUGGGGUAGUGGCUUACCAAGGCUUUGACGGGUAGCCGGCCUGAGAGGGUGACCGGCCACAUUGGGACUGAGAUGCGGCCCAGACUCCUACGGGAGGCAGCAGUGGGGAAUAUUGCACAAUGGGCGGAAGCCUGAUGCAGCAACGCCGCGUGGGGGAUGACGGCCUUCGGGUUGUAAACCGCUUGCGCCUGUGACGAAGCGUGAGUGACGGUAAUGGGUAAAGAAGCACCGGCUAACUACGUG